rnacentral:SRP_RNA from 1 species
CCGUGCUAGACGGGGAGUUAGCGGUGCCCUGUACCCGCAAUCCGCUACAGCGGGGUCGAACUCCCGCCCGAGGGUACGCCUUGUGGGGUCUGGCUCAGGUAAGUGACGUUGACGAUUGGGUCUUGCGCGACGGGAAGCCAUGAACCCCGUCAGGUCCGGAAGGAAGCAGCGGUAAGUGGUAUAUCCCGGGUGCCGCAAGGGUGCCUGGUCUGAGUUAACUGCCUGAUGUAUCGCCUGUAAGUCGUGUUCGAAGGCGGGUGCACGG